rnacentral:tRNA from 1 species
GCCCCCUUCGUCUAGCGGCCCAGGACGUCGGACUUUCUGUCCGAAAACGCUCGUUCGAAUCGGGCAGGGGGUA